rnacentral:rRNA from 1 species
AUUGAACGCUGGCGGCAUGCCUUACACAUGCAAGUCGAACGGCAGCACGGGAGCAAUCCUGGUGGCGAGUGGCGAACGGGUGAGUAAUAUAUCGGAACGUGCCCAGUCGUGGGGAUAACGUAGCGAAAGCUACGCUAAUACCGCAUACGAUCUAUGGAUGAAAGCGGGGGAUCGCAAGACCUCGCGCGAUUGGAGCGGCCGAUAUCAGAUUAGGUAGUUGGUGAGGUAAAGGCUCACCAAGCCGACGAUCUGUAGCUGGUCUGAGAGGACGACCAGCCACACUGGGACUGAGACACGGCCCAGACUCCUACGGGAGGCAGCAGUGGGGAAUUUUGGACAAUGGGCGCAAGCCUGAUCCAGCAAUGCCGCGUGCAGGAUGAAGGCCUUGGUUGUAACUAGCUUUUGUUACGGUAACGAAACCGGUA